rnacentral:tRNA from 1 species
CAAAAAAUAGUUUAAGUAAAAUAAUAAUUUUGGAGAUUAUUGAUAGUAAAAGUUAUUUUUUCUGA